rnacentral:rRNA from 1 species
CCUACGGGAGGCAGCAGUGAGGAAUGUUGGUCAAUGGGCGCGAGCCUGAACCAGCCAAGUAGCGUGAAGGAUGACUGCCCUACGGGUUGUAAACUUCUUUUAUAAAGGAAUAAAGUGAGGCACGUGUGCCUUUUUGUAUGUACUUUAUGAAUAAGGAUCGGCUAACUACGUGCCAGCAGCCGCGGUAAUACGGAGGAUACGAGCGUUAUCCGGAUUUAUUGGGUUUAAAGGGAGCGUAGAUGGGUUGUUAAGUCAGGUGUGAAAGUUUGCGGCUCAACCGUAAAAUUGCAAUUGAUACUGGCAGCCUUGAGUACAGUGGAGGUAGGCGGAAUUCGUGGUGUAGCGGUGAAAUGCUUAGAUAUCACGAAGAACUCCGAUUGCGAAGGCAGCUUACUAAACUGCCACUGACAUUGAUGCUCGAAAGUGUGGGUAUCAAACAGGAUUAGAUACCUGAGUAGUC